rfam:Schistosoma margrebowiei strain Zambia genome assembly, scaffold: SMRZ_scaffold0000303
GCCCAGCUGACGAGUCCAAAAUAGGACGAAACAUACAUCCUGGAU